AUUGGGUUGACCUCAGAGUUCCUUUGGGUUUUCCCAUAAGAUGCUAUAGAAAAACUUGAGUGAAAAUUUGGGCCAGCCCA
rnacentral:miRNA from 1 species